GAUGAACGCUGGCGGCGUGCUUAACACAUGCAAGUCGAACGGGAUCCAAGAAGUGCUUGCACUUUUUGGUGAGAGUGGCGAACGGGUGAGUAACACGUGAGUAACCUGUCCUUUUCUUUGGGAUAAGCUUCCGAAAGGGUGUUUAAUACCUUAUGUUCUGUCUGCCUCGCAUGGGGUGGGUGGGAAAGAUUUUUUCGGUAAAGGGUGGGCUCGCGGUCUAUCAGCUUGUUGGUGGGGUGAUGGCCUACCAAGGCUUUGACGGGUAGCCGGCCUGAGAGGGUGGUCGGUCACAUUGGGACUGAGAUACGGCCCAGACUCCUGCGGGAGGCAGCAGUGGGGGAUAUUGCACAAUGGGCGAAGGCCUGAUGCAGCGACGCCGCGUGGGGGAUGAAGGCCUUCGGGUUGUAAACUUCUUUUGCUCUGAACAAGGCGCACCGUGGGGUGUGUUGAGUGUAGGGGUUGAUUAGCGCCGGCUAACUACGUGCCAGCAGCCGCGGUAACACGUAAGGCGCGAGCGUUGUCCGGAAUUAUUGGGCGUAAAGGGCUUGUAAGUGGCUGGGUUGCGUCUGUCGUGAAAGCUCAAGGCUUAACUGUGGAUUUGCGCUGGUACGGGCUGGCUUGAGAGCGGAGGGGGAGCUGGAGUUCCUGGUGUACCCUGUAAACCCAAAUAUAGGAAGAUUACCGUGGUAAGGCGGGUUUUUGGAUGGACUGGCCCUACGACGACGAUAGGGAAAAAAAAGCUAAAUAUCUGUGAUCGAGGUGAAUUCCAAAUGGAUGGGGGAGCGGGGCCGCCCACGCGGGGAAGCUGUGACGUUCCCCACCCCCCUCCCCUAAAAAAAAUACUUUUUAAGGAUGGCUGGCUUG
rnacentral:rRNA from 1 species